rnacentral:tRNA from 1 species
AGAGGUUUAGGUUAAAUCCAGACCGAAGGCCUUCAAAGCCCUAAGCAAAUCACUCAGAUUUAACCUCUG